rnacentral:rRNA from 1 species
UCACCUCUUCCCAUCCCGAACAGAGAAGUUAAGCCCGCCUGCGCAGAUGGUACUGCAAUUAUGUGGGAGAGUAUGUCGUCGCCUUUC